rnacentral:rRNA from 1 species
AGUGAACGCUGGCGGCGUGCCUAAUACAUGCAAGUCGAACGGAGUGGCGCACGGGUGAGUAAUAUAUAGCUAAUCUGCCCCUUGCUGGAGGACAACCGUUAGAAAUGACUGCUAAUACUCCAUAGCACGGGAUGAGACUAUAUCGUAUCAGCUAGUCGGUGGGGUAACGGCCUACCGAGGCUAUGACGCGUACCGGGUCUGAGAGGACUAUCAGUCACAUUGAAACGGAGACACGGCCCAAAGUCGUACGGGGGGGAGCAGUAGGGAAUAUUGGGGAAUGGGGGAAACACUGACGCAGCAACGCUGCGUGGGGGAUGAAGGCUUUAGGGUUGUAAACCUCUUCGUGCGAACAAGGGGUAGGUGGAGAAGAAGCGCCGGCUAACUACGUGCCAGCCGCCGCGGUAAUAC